CUCGCGAGAGCAAGCGGACCUCAUAAAGUGCGUCGUAGUCCGGAUUGGAGUCUGCAACUCGACUCCAUGAAGUCGGAAUCGCUAGUAAUCGUGGAUCAGAAUGCCACGGUGAAUACGUUCCCGGGCCUUGUACACACCGCCCGUCACACCAUGGGAGUGGGUUGCAAAAGAAGUAGGUAGCUUAACCUUCGGGAAGGCGCUUACCACUUUGUGAUUCAUGACUGGGGUGAAGUCGUAACAAGGUAACCGUAGGGGAACCUGCGGUUGGAUCACCUCCUUA
rnacentral:rRNA from 1 species